UACGUAGGGUGCGAGCGUUGUCCGGAAUUAUUGGGCGUAAAGGGCUCGUAGGCGGUUUGUCGCGUCGGGAGUGAAAUCCACUGGCUUAACUGGUGGCUUGCUUUCGAUACGGGCAGACUGGAGGUAUGCAGGGGAGACGGCGAAUUCCUGGUGUAGCGGUGAAAUGCGUAGAUAUCAGGAGGAACACCGGUGGUGUAGACGGCUCUCUGGACCGUAACUGACGCUGAGGCACGAAAGCGUGGGUAGCAAACAGG
rnacentral:rRNA from 1 species